CAUGUCUAGUAUAAGCAAUCUAUACGGUGAAACUGCGAAUGGCUCAUUAAAUCAGUUAUCGUUUAUUUGAUAGUACCUUACUACUUGGAUAACCGUGGUAAUUCUAGAGCUAAUACAUGCUAAAAACCCCGACUUCGGAAGGGGUGUAUUUAUUAGAUAAAAAACCAAUGCCCUUCGGGGCUCCUUGGUGAUUCAUAAUAACUUAACGAAUCGCAUGGCCUUGUGCCGGCGAUGGUUCAUUCAAAUUUCUGCCCUAUCAACUUUCGAUGGUAGGAUAGUGGCCUACCAUGGUUUCAACGGGUAACGGGGAAUUAGGGUUCUAUUCCGGAGAGGGAGCCUGAGAAACGGCUACCACAUCCAAGGAAGGCAGCAGGCGCGCAAAUUACCCAAUCCCGACACGGGGAGGUAGUGACAAUAAAUACUGAUACAGGGCUCUUUUGGGUCUUGUAAUUGGAAUGAGUACAAUUUAAAUCCCUUAACGAGGAACAAUUGGAGGGCAAGUCUGGUGCCAGCAGCCGCGGUAAUUCCAGCUCCAAUAGCGUAUAUUAAAGUUGUUGCAGUUAAAAAGCUCGUAGUUGAACCUUGGGCCUGGCUGGCCGGUCCGCCUCACCGCGUGCACUGGUCCGGCCGGGCCUUUCCUUCUGGGGAGCCGCAUGCCCUUCACUGGGUGUGUCGGGGAACCAGGACUUUUACUUUGAAAAAAUUAGAGUGUUCAAAGCAGGCCUAUGCUCGAAUACAUUAGCAUGGAAUAAUAGAAUAGGACGUGUGGUUCUAUUUUGUUGGUUUCUAGGACCGCCGUAAUGAUUAAUAGGGAUAGUCGGGGGCAUCAGUAUUCAAUUGUCAGAGGUGAAAUUCUUGGAUUUAUUGAAGACUAACUACUGCGAAAGCAUUUGCCAAGGAUGUUUUCAUUAAUCAGUGAACGAAAGUUA
rnacentral:rRNA from 1 species